UACGAAGGGUGCAAGCGUUAAUCGGAAUUACUGGGCGUAAAGGGUCUGUAGGUGGCUUGCUAAGUCAGACGUGAAAUCCCUCAGCUUAACUGGGGAACUGCGUCUGAUACUGGCGAGCUUGAGUGCAGGAGAGGAACGCGGAAUUCCAGGUGUAGCGGUGAAAUGCGUAGAUAUCUGGAGGAACACCGGUGGCGAAGGCGGCGUUCUGGACUGCAACUGACACUGAGAGACGAAAGCCAGGGGAGCAAACGGG
rnacentral:rRNA from 1 species